UACGUAGGGGGCAAGCGUUGUCCGGAUUUAUUGGGCGUAAAGAGCUCGUAGGCGGUUGGGCAAGUCACGUGUGAAAUCUCCAACGCUCAACGUGGAGGCGCCACGUGAGACUGCCCUGACUCGAGUCCGGUAGGGGAGCGUGGAAUUCCCGGUGUAGCGGUGAAAUGCGCAGAUAUCAGGAGGAACACCGAUGGCGAAGGCAGGUCUCUGGGCCACUACUGACGCUGAGAAGCGAAAGCAUGGGGAGCGAACAGG
rnacentral:rRNA from 1 species